rnacentral:rRNA from 1 species
CGUAGGGUGCGAGCGUUGUCCGGAAUUAUUGGGCGUAAAGGGCUCGUAGGCGGUUUGUCGCGUCGGGAGUGAAAACCUCAUGCUUAACAUGUGGCUUGCUUUCGAUACGGGCAGACUAGAGGUAUGCAGGGGAGAACGGAAUUCCUGGUGUAGCGGUGAAAUGCGCAGAUAUCAGGAGGAACACCGGUGGCGAAGGCGGUUCUCUGGGCAUUACCUGACGCUGAGGAGCGAAAGUGUGGGGAGCGACAGGAUU